rnacentral:rRNA from 1 species
AUUGAACGCUAGCGGGAUGCCUUACACAUGCAAGUCGAACGGAGUGGCGAACGGGUGAGUAAUGUAUCGGAACGUGCCCAGUAGCGGGGGAUAACUACGCGAAAGCGAAGCUAAUACCGCAUACUCUUGGAGCGGCCGAUAUCGGAUUAGCUAGUUGGGGGGGUAACGGCUCACCAAGGCGACGAGCCGUAGCCGGUUUGAGAGGACGACCAGCCACACUGGGACUGAGACACGGCCCAGACUCCUACGGGAGGCAGCAGUGGGGAAUAUUGGACAAUGGGCGAAAUCCUGAUGCAGCCAUCCCGCGUGUGCGAAGAAGGCCUUCGGGUUGUAAAGUACUUUUGGCAGGGAAGCGGUACCUGCAGAAUAAGCACCGGCUAACUACGUGCCAGCAGCCGCGGUAAUUC